rfam:Triticum aestivum genome assembly, contig: Triticum_aestivum_CS42_TGACv1_scaffold_222944_3B
UGAAUACUCCCUCCGUCCGAAAAUACUUGUCAUCAAAAUGGACAAAAAGGGAUGUAUGUAUCCGUCCGAAAAUACUUGUCAUCAAAAUGGACAAAAAGGGAUGUAUGUAACAAAAAGGGAUGUAUGUAAUGUAUGUAGAUACAUACAUCCCUUUUUGUCCAUUUUGAUGACAAGUAUUUCCGGACGGAGGGAGUACAUG